rnacentral:rRNA from 1 species
CCUACGGGAGGCAGCAGUGAGGAAUAUUGGUCAAUGGGCGCGAGCCUGAACCAGCCAAGUAGCGUGAAGGAUGACUGCCCUACGGGUUGGAAACUUCUUUUAUAAAGGAAUAAAGUGAGGCACGUGUGCAUUUUUGUAUGUACGUUAUGAAUAAGGAUCGGCUAACUCCGUGCCAGCAGCCGCGGUAAUACGGAGGAUCCGAGCGUUAUCCGGCUUGAUUGGGUUUAAAGGGAGCGUAGAUGGGUUGUUAAGUCAGUUGUGAAAGUUUGCGGCUCAACCGGAAAAUUGCCAUUGAUACUUGCAGUCUUGCGUCCAGUUGAGGUAGGCGGCCUUCGUGUUGUAGCGGU